rnacentral:rRNA from 1 species
AUUGAACGCUGGCGGUAUGCUUUACACAUGCAAGUCGAACGGUAGAGGGGCAACCCUUGAGAGUGGCGAACGGGUGAGUAAUACAUCGGAACGUGCCCAGUCGUGGGGGAUAACGUAGCGAAAGCUACGCUAAUACCGCAUACGACCUGAGGGUGAAAGCGGGGGACCUGCAAGGGCCUCGCGCGAUUGGAGCGGCCGAUGGCAGAUUAGGUAGUUGGGGAGGUAAAGGCUCACCAAGCCGACGAUCUGUAGCUGGUCUGAGAGGACGACCAGCCACACUGGGACUGAGACACGGCCCAGACUCCUACGGGAGGCAGCAGUGGGGAAUUUUGGACAAUGGGCGCAAGCCUGAUCCAGCCAUACCGCGUGCAGGAAGAAGGCCUUCGGGUUGUAAACUGCUUUUGUCAGGGAAGAAAUCUUCUGGGCUAAUACCCUGGGAGGAUGACGGUACCUGAAGAAUAAGCACCGGCUAACUACGUGCCAGCCGCCGCAGUAAUAC